rnacentral:lncRNA from 1 species
AAGGGGAAAGUGUGAUUUGUGUGAAGCAAGUGCAAUGCAUCGUACACAUGCGCGUGCGCAAGGGCGCUUGGGAUGCACUUUGCAUAUUUGCAUUUGCGCCCCUGCACCAUCUGUUUUGAGGUCUAUGAUCCAGACAUGCAGAUGCAUCAUCUCGUUUUGAGGUCUAUGAUCCAGACAUGCCGAUGCAUCAUCUCGUUUUGAGGUCUAUGAUCCAGACAUGCAGAUCAAGAAUUGGUCGA